rnacentral:rRNA from 1 species
UACGUAGGGUCCGAGCGUUGUCCGGAAUUAUUGGGCGUAAAGGGCUCGUAGGCGGUUCGUCACGUCGGGAGUGAAAACUCGGGGCUUAACCCCGAGCCUGCUUCCGAUACGGGCAGACUAGAGGUAGGCAGGGGAGAGCGGAACUCCUGGUGUAGCGGUGGAAUGCGCAGAUAUCAGGAGGAACACCGGUGGCGAAGGCGGGUCUCUGGGCAGUAACUGACGCUGAGGAGCGAAAGCGUGGGGAGCGAACAGG